GGUAGGCAAGAUUCAAGAAAUAAUGUUAAAGUGCUUAAACAAAGAAAAGACAGUCUUUUCAAGGCAUCAAUGCAUAUUGACUGAAAUUCUAGAUGCUUAUUCUACCAACAUACAUUUAGUUGCUAUAUUGGGUUGCAGGUGUUUCAAAUAGUAUGAAAGAGACCUUUGCCAAUAAUUCUUGGGGCAGUUGCACAAUAUUUUUCUUAUGCCAUUUUAUGGAUUUCUCUGGACACAGAUUUUGGCAUUGUAGGAGCCACAACAUAGGCUUUUGGAUUUGUAAUGAUCGGAACAUGUCCAGGAGGAGUGAGGUCUGUUUCUUCUGCUUCUAGAAGGAAAUUUCACUUUGGCCAUUUUGAUAACUUGUGCAUCAGCAUUCUUGGCACUGAUAAUGAUGUUGGCUAAUUCUUACAUAUACUGUAGGAUGUUACGGUUAUCAUGUACAUUUCAUACUCCUGUUUCUAAAAUUAUAUAUACCUUUCAUACUUAUAUCAGUUGGAAUAGUCAACUGUAGAAUACCUGAAAAAGCAAACUUCCUAGAGAGAAUAAUUAGAACUAUGAAUUUUAUUUUAAUAUCUGUAGGGAUUUAGGUGACUUUCAGAAUGUUUCUAAAAAUAGUUAACAUAGAGGUGCUAUUAUUGGAUGUCUAAGUUCCUGCUUUGGAUUUGUUUGGGUACUCCUUUGCUAAAAUUUCUGUGUUGCCUCUUCUUGUUUGUAAACCAAUUGCUGUCAAAAGUGGUAUACUAGUUUCUCAGCUCUUGCCAUUGUUCAGCUCUUUUUCACGGUCCAAGACCAACUUAGCUUCUGUGGCUUCUUUUACAGUGGUCAUGAGUUCUGGAUGUGAAAGGUUACUAUUCCUUUCUGUUCUACAAGGCUAAGGAAAGUUGUAUCCUUAUCAUAGAACAUGAAAGGAAAAAGUAAUCCCUUGGUCUAACAAAGCAUUAGUGAAUUCCUGCUAUGAAUGAGGUACUGUGGGAGAUUCAAGGAAUAUCUAAAAUGAUGCCUGUUUUCAAUAUACUUUAUAUAUAUAUAAUAUAUAUUUAUUCAUAAUAUAUAUUAUAUAUAUAUUUAUUCAUGAGAGACACAGAGAGAGGCAGAGACACAGGCAGAGGGAGAAGCAGGCACCCUGCGGGGAGCCCUUUACGGAACUCUAUCCCUGGAUCCUGGGAUCAGUACCAGAGCCGAAGGCAGAUGCUCAACCACUGAGCCACCCAGGCAUUCCCCUCAAUAUACUUUUUUUAUGAUCUGAUUGAAAGCCUGACAUUAGGGGAAUGAGUGCUAAACACCUCGUGAAUAGUACAGACAGUUAAAUUUACAGAAAUUCAGAGGAAGGAGACUUUUCAAACUGUGUUGGUUUGGAAAUAUGGAGUUAGAUUUGAAUAUGAUACUUUAUUUUUAAAAAAUCUUAUUUGGUGAGAGAGAGCACACGCAGGAGCAGAAGCAGGGGAGCAGCAGGCAGAGGGAGAGGGAGAAGCAGGCUCCCCACUGAGCAGGAAGCCUGAUGUGGGGCUGGAUCCUAGGACCCUGGGAUCAUGACCUGAGCUGACAGCAGAUACUUAACUGAUUGAGCCACCCAGGCGCCCCCUGAAUAUGACCCUUUAUUAUGAUCUUUUAAACAGGAAAGAGGAACAAAAAAUAACUCUUCUGUAGUGAUUGUGAUACAUCCCAAGUAUUUAUGGAAGGGUUCUCCAUGUAAUAGGCAGUCAGUAAAUGCUCAUAUACUGAAUGAAUGUGAAUUCCUAUUUGGAUCUCUCAUCGGCUCCAUCA
rnacentral:lncRNA from 1 species